rnacentral:rRNA from 1 species
AGAGCGAACGCUGGCGGCAGGCUUAACACAUGCAAGUCGAGCGGAUGUAGCAAUACAUCAGCGGCAGACGGGAUAGUAACACGUGGGAACGCGCCCUUUGGUUCGGAAUAACUCAGGGAAACUUGAGCUAAUACCGGAUAAGCCCUUACGGGGAAAGAUUUAUCGCCAAAGGAACGGCCCGCGUCCGAUUAGCUAGUUGGUGAGGUAAUGGCUCACCAAGGCGACGAUCGGUAGCUGGUCUGAGAGGAUGACCAGCAUCACUGGGACUGAGACACGGCCCAGACUCCUACGGGAGGCAGCAGUGGGGAAUAUUGGACAAUGGGCGCAAGCCUGAUCCAGCCAUGCCGCGUGGGUGAUGAAGGCCCUCGGGUCGUAAAGCCCUUUUCCCAGGGACGAUAGUGACGGUACCUGGGGAAUCAGCCCCGGCUAACUACGUGCCAGCAGCCGC